GCCCAGCUGGCUCAGUUGGUAGAGCAUGAACUCUUGAUCUCCAGAUUGUGAGUUUGAGCCCCAUGCUGGGCA
rnacentral:tRNA from 1 species